AGCAGCCGCGGUAAUUCCAGCUCCAAUAGCGUAUAUUAAAGUUGUUGCAGUUAAAAAGCUCGUAGUUGAAUUUUGGGUUUGGCCGAUUGGUCCGUUCUUGUAGCGAGUACUGGUCGGCUGGGCCUCACCGCUUGGUGAUGCGUAAUGUCCUUUAUUGGGUGUUGCGAGUAGCCAAGACCUUUACCUUGAAAAAAUUAGAGUGUUUAAAGCAGGCUUAUGCCAGAAUACAUUAGCAUGGAAUAAUAGAAUAGGACGAUUUAUCUAUUUUGUUGGUUUCUAGGAAAAUCGUAAUGAUUAAUAGGGAUAGUUGGGGGCAUUAGUAUUCAAUUGUCAGAGGUGAAAUUCUUGGAUUUAUUGAAGACUAACUACUGCGAAAGCAUUUGCCAAGGAUGUUUUCAUUAAUCAAGAACGAAAGUUAGGGGAUCGAAGACGAUCAGAUACCGUCGUAGU
rnacentral:rRNA from 1 species